ACUCACUGUGCCAGAGUCCGGCCUAAUGGGCGUACCGAGAGUAGGUACGAGCGUGAGUACGAGGGUUCGAAUCCCUCCAGUGAGUA
rnacentral:tRNA from 1 species